AGGAGGAUUGAGAAAGUUUGGCAGCCAGAUCAUUGUUGCCACAACUGGUUAUUCCCUCCAACAGUAAGAGGCAAAUGACUAACUACUAACUACUACUGCUGUGUGUGGGCUGUAAGCAGUGAUUUGCCUACAUAAG